rnacentral:lncRNA from 1 species
AAACUGUCAGCUGUAAUUAGCACAUCUGAGCGAGAGUUGAGUGUUUACUGCCACUCUCCUCUCGUCGCCAACUAACUCGAGUUGACGCGCUGAAAUUUUUGACUGAGUGACGCCUCGAACCGAAAAGAUGAAUGUCUUUGGCUUGCCUGAGAACAUGCUGCGAUGUAAUUAUUAAUGCCAUCAACAUCAUCAUCAUCAUCAUCGUCGUCGUCGCUGCGGAAGCUGAUGACUUGUCGCUUGCCGCAUGCCGCAUGCCGCGCCUGCUUUUAGGCUUGCCGCGCUUAAAGUGUGGAAGAUGCCACACACACACACACACACACACACACACACACACACACACGUAUGUGUGCAUUUAUCUGCAGCAGCCACACCCUAAAAGGGAAAACAGCAGCGCAUAUUAAACAGACUCCUUCAGAGUCUCCCGGCCGCUGGCAAAAAAAAAUAAUAAUUUGCAGUGCACAUUUCUGGCUCUCCUUUCCGUUCGCUCCUUUUUUUCUGUGCCACUUUUUUGUAUGUAUGUAAUAAUGUAUGUAUGUGUGUAUGUGUGUAUGCGUGAAUGUUGCAAGUUGGCACUGGCACACCUUUUUUUUCCACUCCUGCCGCUGAAGCAUUUUUCUCGCCUGAAAUGCAGGCAAACGUCCCAUUGCAGAGGGACGAGCAUCCUGAGGAUUCUGCUGCUGCUUCUCUGGAGCUGUGAUGCGGCGGUGUUCAUGUUGUUUGGCGCCAUUAUUAAUAAAGUUCAC